GACGAACGCUGGCGGCGUGCUUAACACAUGCAAGUCGAACGGAAAGGCCCUGCUUUUGUGGGGUGCUCGAGUGGCGAACGGGUGAGUAACACGUGAGUAACCUGCCCUUGACUUUGGGAUAACUUCAGGAAACUGGGGCUAAUACCGGAUAGGAGCUCCUGCUGCAUGGUGGGGGUUGGAAAGUUUCGGCGGUUGGGGAUGGACUCGCGGCUUAUCAGCUUGUUGGUGGGGUAGUGGCUUACCAAGGCUUUGACGGGUAGCCGGCCUGAGAGGGUGACCGGCCACAUUGGGACUGAGAUACGGCCCAGACUCCUACGGGAGGCAGCAGUGGGGAAUAUUGCACAAUGGGCGGAAGCCUGAUGCAGCAACGCCGCGUGCGGGAGGACGGCCUUCGGGUUGUAAACCGCUUUCGCCUGUGACGAAGCGUGAGUGACGGUAUGGGUAAAGAAGCACCGGCUAACUACGUG
rnacentral:rRNA from 1 species